rnacentral:tRNA from 1 species
UGGGUUGUAGCUCAGUUGGUAGAGCGUCUGGCUGUUAACCAGAAUGUCGGGGGUUCGAGUCCCUCCUUCCUAGCCA